rnacentral:rRNA from 1 species
GAUGAACGCUGGCGGCGUGCCUAAUACAUGCAAGUCGAGCGAACAGACGAGGAGCUUGCUCCUCUGACGUUAGCGGCGGACGGGUGAGUAACACGUGGAUAACCUACCUAUAAGACUGGGAUAACUUCGGGAAACCGGAGCUAAUACCGGAUAAUAUAUUGAACCGCAGGGUUCAAUAGUGAAAGACGGUUUUGCUGUCACUUAUAGAUGGAUCCGCGCCGCAUUAGCUAGUUGGUAAGGUAACGGCCUACCAAGGCAACGAUGCGUAGCCGACCUGAGAGGGUGAUCGGCCACACUGGAACUGAGACACGGUCCAGACUCCUACGGGAGGCAGCAGUAGGGAAUCUUCGGCAAUGGGCGAAAGCCUGACGGAGCCAUGCCGCGUGAGUGAUGAAGGUCUUCGGAUCGUAAAACUCUGUUAUUAGGGAAGAACAAAUGUGUAAGUAACUCUGCACGUCUUGACGGUACCUAAUCAGAAAGCCCCGGCUAACUACGUG